AUAUAAUAUGGUGUACACAAGCACCUUGAACCUUGAAUUCAAAAGCGAGAGCCUCUCCUCUAUUAUAA
rnacentral:tRNA from 1 species